rnacentral:rRNA from 1 species
UACGAACUGUGCGAACGUUAUUCGGAAUCACUGGGCUUACAGGGUGCGUAGGCGGCUUGUUAAGUAGGGUGUGAAAGCCCUCGGCUCAACCGAGGAAUUGCGCUCUAAACUACUGUGCUUGAGGAAGCUAGAGGUGAGCAGAACAGAUGGUGGAGCGGUGAAAUGCGUUGAUAUCAUCUGGAAUACCGGAGGCGAAGGCGGCUCACUGGGGCUUUUCUGACGCUGAGGAACGAAAGCCAGGGUAGCGAACGGG